rnacentral:rRNA from 1 species
AGAGUUUGAUCAUGGCUCAGGAUAAACGCUGGCGGCGCACAUAAGACAUGCAAGUCGAACGAACUUAACCAUAAGUUUACUUUUGGAGCGGUUAGUGGCGGACUGGUGAGUAACACGUAAGCAACCUGCCUAACAGAGGGGAACAACAGUUAGAAAUGACUGCUAAUACCGCAUAUGCCUUGAGUAUCGCAUGGUACAAGAGGGAAAGGAGAAAUCCGCUGAUAGAUGGGCUUGCGUCUGAUUAGCUAGUUGGUGGGGUAAAGGCCUACCAAGGCGACGAUCAGUAGCCGGACUGAGAGGUUGAACGGCCACAUUGGGACUGAGAUACGGCCCAGACUCCUACGGGAGGCAGCAGUCGGGAAUAUUGCGCAAUGGAGGGAACUCUGACGCAGUGACGCCGCGUGCAGGAAGAAGGUUUUCGGAUUGUAAACUGCUUUAGACAGGGAAGAAGAAAGACAGUACCUGUAGAAUAAGCUCCGGCUAACUACGUGCCAGCAGCCGCGGUAAUACGUAGGGAGCGAGCGUUAUCCGGAUUUAUUGGGUGUAAAGGGUGCGUAGACGGGAAGGCAAGUUGGUUGUGAAAUCCCUCGGCUUAACUGAGGAACUGCAACCAAAACUAUCUUUCUUGAGUGCUGGAGAGGAAAGUGGAAUUCCUAGUGUAGCGGUGAAAUGCGUAGAUAUUAGGAGGAACACCAGUGGCGAAGGCGACUUUCUGGACAGUAACUGACGUUGAGGCACGAAAGUGUGGGGAGCAAACAGGAUUAGAUACCCUGGUAGUCCACACUGUAAACGAUGGAUAC